GCGCACCAGUCGCGAAACCUCCGCAAUGCUCGAAAGAGCGACGGGGGACUCCAAGUGCCUACGCUCAGCGUAGGCUGUUCCCGAGCCUAAAAGCUCGGGGAGUUAAGGGCUGGGUAAGACGGGUGCCAGCCGCCGCGGUAAUACCCGCAGCCCCGAGUGGUGGCCGCUAUUAUUGGGCCUAAAAGCGUCCGUAGCCGGCUCGGUAAAAUGCCUGGGUAAAAUCGUCUGGCCCAACCAGACGAAUUCCGGGUAGAACUGCCGGGCUAGGGACCGGAGGAGGGAGAGGGGUACUCCA
rnacentral:rRNA from 1 species